rnacentral:misc_RNA from 1 species
CGAGGUCAACCUUUGGAAAAUUGGGGGUUUUACGGCAAGAGUCCCUCCGGAUCCCAGUGCGAGACGUAAAGUUACUACGCAAAGGAGGCUCCGGGAGGGUCCGCCACUACCUUUGAGGGCCUACAUCAGCUGUAGGGCCCCAACACCAAGCAGAGCUUGAGGGUUGAAAUGACGCUCGAACAGGCAUGCCCGCCAGAAUGCUGGCGGGCGCAAUGUGCGUUCAAAGAUUCGAUGAUUCACUGAAUUCUGCAAUUCACAUUACUUAUCGCAUUUCGCUGCGUUCUUCAUCGAUGCCAGAACCAAGAGAUCCGUUGUUAAAAGUUUUGAUUAUUUGCUUGUACCACUCAGAAGAAACGUCGUUAAAUCAGAGUUUGGUUAUCCUCCGGCGGGCGCCGACCCGCCCGGGGGCGGGAGGCCGGGAGGGUCACGGAGACCCUACCCGCCGAAGCAACAGUUAUAGGUAUGUUCACAAAGGGUUAUAGAGCGAA